CCCUUAGAUGUCCUGGGCCGCACGCGCGCUACACUGAUGCAUUCAACGAGUCUACCUUGGCCGAGAGGCCUGGGCAACCUUUUAAACGUGCAUCGUGAUAGGGAUAGAUUAUUGCAAUUAUUAAUCUUGAACGAGGAAUUCCUAGUAAGCGCAAGUCAACAGCUUGCGUUGAUUACGUCCCUGCCCUUUGUACACACCGCCCGUCGCUACUACUGAUUGGAUGUUUAAGCGAGGUUCUCGAACUGCUAGCGACUUAGCUUCGGUGAGGUCGCAGUGUGGGAAGUGAACCUAGCUUUGGUGUCUAGAGGAAGUAAAAGUCGUAACA
rnacentral:rRNA from 1 species